rnacentral:rRNA from 1 species
GAUGAACGCUGGCGGCGUGCCUAAUACAUGCAAGUCGAGCGAACAGACGAGGAGCUUGCUCCUCUGACGUUAGCGGCGGACGGGUGAGUAACACGUGGAUAACCUACCUAUAAGACUGGGAUAACUUCGGGAAACCGGAGCUAAUACCGGAUAAUAUAUUGAACCGCAUGGUUCAAUAGUGAAAGACGGUUUUGCUGUCACUUAUAGAUGGAUCCGCGCCGCAUUAGCUAGUUGGUAAGGUAACAGCUUACCAAGGCAACGAUGCGUAGCCGACCUGAGAGGGUGAUCGGCCACACUGGAACUGAGACACGGUCCAGACUCCUACGGGAGGCAGCAGUAGGGAAUCUUCCGCAAUGGGCGAAAGCCUGACGGAGCAACGCCGCGUGAGUGAUGAAGGUCUUCGGACCGUAAAACUCUGUUAUUAGGGAAGAACAAAUGUGUAAGUAACUAUGCACGUCUUGACGGUACCUAAUCAGAAAGCCACGGCUAACUACGUG